GACGGAGGGUGCAAGCGUUGUUCGGAUUGACUGGGCGUAAAGGGCGUGUAGGCGGUCGGUCAAGUCUGGUGUGAAAGCCCGGGGCUCAGCUCCGGAAGUGCAUCGGAAACUAGCUGGCUGGAGCGCGAUAGAGGAGGGCGGAAUUCCUGGUGUAGCGGUGAAAUGCGCAGAUAUCAGGAGGAACACCGGUGGCGAAGGCGGGUCUCUGGGCCGAUACUGACGCUGAGGAGCGAAAGCGUGGGGAGCGAACAGG
rnacentral:rRNA from 1 species